UACGUAGGGUCCAAGCGUUAAUCGGAAUUACUGGGCGUAAAGCGUGCGCAGGCGGCUUCGCAAGUCAGACGUGAAAUCCCCGGGCUUAACCUGGGAAUGGCGUUUGAAACUACGGAGCUGGAGUGUGGCAGAAGGAGGUAGAAUUCCACGUGUAGCGGUGAAAUGCGUAGAUAUGUGGAGGAAUACCGAUGGCGAAGGCAGCCUCCUGGGCCAACACUGACGCUCAUGCACGAAAGCGUGGGGAGCAAACAGG
rnacentral:rRNA from 1 species